UCUGGGGGGUGCCCCUGCCCUGCAGCCAGCCAGCCAGCCAGCCAGCCUGCCCUGACACUCAAGCUCCCCGGCCACUCGCCCUAAAGAGCAGCUGGCCCGCCAUGGAGGCCCCGGCCCCAGAGCAGCAGCAGGAGCAGGAGGUAAUACCAAUGAGCAAUGGUCUCCAGCUUCAGGAAGCAGGCCCCAUCCUUUCUCUGGACGUUAAGGAAUCUGCCUUGGAAGCCAGUGUUGUAAUGCUGGAAGCCAAAGACCUGAUUGCAGAGGGCAAAGAUGCCAAGCUGAAUGGGACGUCAGAUGGCCAGAGCAUGAACUGUGAUCCUGAAGUUGUUGUGCAGGAUGCCAAGACAGCGGGUUGGGAUGGCAGAGUGACAGAAGUGACUGUUGAGAUGAUAAAUGCAAAGGCCAAAGAAUUAGAUGGAGCUGAAAACAGUGGUCAGCCUCAAGCCACAGGAACAGAUAGCAAACUGAGGGGAAAAGAGGAUGUGAUGCUGAGAGCCAAGAAUGAUGACAGGAAGGCCAAAGCAACUGCAACUGGUAGUAAAGAUGCCAGUCAGCAUUGCCAAGGAUCAGAUCUGGAUCCCAAAGGAGCAACACCAGCAGAAACAACAGCAGCAGCAGCAACAACAGAAGCUACUCAGCUUGAACCGAGUAACAAGGAAAGUGAUGGGGACAUCAUUUCGCUUGAUUGUGAAAUUCUUGGUUUUGGCCCUGACAUUGACUUCCUGGGCCCUGAUGCUGAACUCUAUAUGCAGUUUAUGCGGAGCCACCACUGUUAUGACGCCAUCCCCACCAGCUCAAAACUGGUAGUAUUUGACACUACCUUGCAGAUUAAGAAGGCCUUCUUUGCCAUGGUGGCCAAUGGGGUGCGGGCUGCCCCUCUCUGGGACAACAAGAAGCAGUGUUUUGUAGGUAUGCUGACCAUCACUGACUUCAUUAACAUCUUACAUCGCUACUACCGAUCCCCUUUGGUUCAGAUAUAUGAGAUUGAGGAACACAAAAUUGAAACGUGGAGAGAGGUGUAUUUGCAAAGUUCCUUCAAACCCUUAGUGUGCAUCUCCCCAAACGAUAGCCUGUUUGAUGCUGUUUAUUCCUUGAUUAAGAACAAGAUCCACCGGCUGCCUGUGAUUGAGCCCAUCUCGGGGAAUGUCCUUCACAUACUGACACACAAGCGCAUCCUCAAGUUUCUACAUAUCUUCGGUGCUAUGCUUCCAAAACCACGCUUCCUGCAGAGAACCAUCCAGGAGCUGGGCAUUGGCACCUUUCGGGAUGUUGCGAUGGUACUGGAGUCAGCUCCUGUUUACACAGCCCUGGAGAUUUUUGUGGACCGCAGGGUCUCAGCAUUGCCAGUUAUUAAUGACAAAGGGCGUGUAGUUGGUCUCUACUCCCGCUUUGAUGUGAUUCACUUGGCUGCCCAAAAGGCCUACAAUAACCUGGACAUCAGCGUGGGGGAAGCACUGAAGCAGCGCUCUGUCUGUCUAGAAGGAGUGCUCACAUGCCACCCUUAUGAAACCAUGGAAGAUAUCAUUGAUCGUAUCGCCAAAGAGCAGGUCCAUCGCCUAGUUCUGGUGGAUGAGAAGAAUGCUCCACGGGGAAUCGUGUCCCUCUCUGACAUUCUCCAAGCCCUGGUGCUCACGCCUGCAGGUAUCGAUGCCCUAAACUCUUAAGCUGCUCGACGCUCCAUCCUUCCUCCAUUUGUACCCUCCAUUUCCUCCGCUUCUCUCCAGCUCAGUACCAAACAGCAACCCGGUUUGGAAGCAAGGCUAAUACUGUGGAUCAUGGACACACAGGAGUCUUGUGGGUACCCUUUUGAGGCAUUGACCGCCAUUCACUCUGAUGACCACUUUCUACCCAUCUCCUUGGGUUACUGCCACUGCAUCUAUGAAACAUAGGGCCUGGGUAAGGUGGAGCUUAACAGCACAGAAAAACGAGCAAAGGAAGGAAAGAGGAGGAAGAGUAAAAUGGGGGGAAAGAACCUGAACUUCAGCACUGUUGAUAGGUUUGCUUCCUUACCUAGUGCAGUCUUGUGCCAGCAAACUUACAACAAAGGAGAUACUGCUGGUCCUUGUUGGACAUUUCACAUUUGCUUGCCUCCUUCAUUAGUCCACUCCUGCCUGAAGAUGAUAUAACUGAGUGUGUGUAGUACUCCAACUGGCUUCAAAGCCUCCUCACUUCAGCCUAAGCCAUUCGUUCAAAGUGAUGCUACUGCUUCAGAUUCAAAAAGCAAUCAGGAGGACUACACACCUUCCCAAUGGAAAGCUCGAGUAGCAGCCAGAGGCAGCUUAUUUGAAGCAAAAUUGCACUGCUUGAACACUGAGAAAGAUUUCCUCCAUUUGUCUGCCAUGCUAUUUUGGAGGGGCAGGGGAGAAAGACAGAUUUUUCAAAGCUGCCUCCUACACAAGACUGAGCACUUAAUGAGCAAAUGCAUUGCUUUUUUCAUAUUUCAUCAUACAUAAGUCAGUGCUAAUGAGAGGAAGAAUACAUUUUACAAGAAAGGUGGGUACUUGAUGUUUGUGAACUGAUAAGCCCCUUUCAAAUGCAUUUUCUUCUGUUCCUAGACCUCAACUUGUGGCUUUUCCAGCUACUGCUGGACUAUAACUCCCAUCAUCCUGGAUAAUGUUGGCUAAUGCUUUUGGGAGUUGCAAUACAAGAACAUCCAAGAGGGCCAUCCCUACAGCCUUGCAACAACAACCAAGGUUGUAUAUUUUGUAUUUCUUUAGUACAGAGAGCCUAGCCUUCCAGCUGUUGUUGGAUUCCAACUCUCAGCAGCUCAAGGCUUGAGGCCAGUAGGUAGGGAUGAUUGGGGGGGGGGGUUGUUGUAGUCCCAACACCAAGAAGAUUUCAAGUUCCCCAUCCCUUUGUACCAUGUUUCCAGCAGACAUGCCAGGAAUGUUGUUCUCUUAUUUUUGUUCUAUUAAACUUUCAUAUUAA